UUAACCUUGCAAGUCGAACGAUGAACCGCUUUCGGGCGGGGAUUAGUGGCGAACGGGUGAGUAACACGUGGGCAAUCUGCCCUGCACUCUGGGACAAGCCCUGGAAACGGGGUCUAAUACCGGAUAUGACCGUCUGCCGCAUGGUGGAUGGUGUAAAGCUCCGGCGGUGCAGGAUGAGCCCGCGGCCUAUCAGCUUGUUGGUGAGGUAGUGGCUCACCAAGGCGACGACGGGUAGCCGGCCUGAGAGGGCGACCGGCCACACUGGGACUGAGACACGGCCCAGACUCCUACGGGAGGCAGCAGUGGGGAAUAUUGCACAAUGGGCGAAAGCCUGAUGCAGCGACGCCGCGUGAGGGAUGACGGCCUUCGGGUUGUAAACCUCUUUCAGCAGGGAAGAAGCGAAAGUGACGGUACCUGCAGAAGAAGCGCCGGCUAACUACGUGCCAGCAGCCGCGGUAAUACGUAGGGCGCAAGCGUUGUCCGGAAUUAUUGGGCGUAAAGAGCUCGUAGGCGGCUUGUCACGUCGGUUGUGAAAGCCCGGGGCUUAACCCCGGGUCUGCAGUCGAUACGGGCAGGCUAGAGUUCGGUAGGGGAGAUCGGAAUUCCUGGUGUAGCGGUGAAAUGCGCAGAUAUCAGGAGGAACACCGGUGGCGAAGGCGGAUCUCUGGGCCGAUACUGACGCUGAGGAGCGAAAGCGUGGGGAGCGAACAGGAUUAGAUACCCUGGUAGUCCACGCCGUAAACGGUGGGCACUAGGUGUGGGCAACAUUCCACGUUGUCCGUGCCGCAGCUAACGCAUUAAGUGCCCCGCCUGGGGAGUACGGCCGCAAGGCUAAAACUCAAAGGAAUUGACGGGG
rnacentral:rRNA from 1 species